AUAUGAAUAAGCGCCGGCUAACUCCGUGCCAGCAGCCGCGGUAAUACGGAGGGCGCAAGCGUUACUCGGAAUCACUGGGCGUAAAGAGCGCGUAGGCGGAUAGAUAAGUCAGAAGUGAAAUCCUAGGGCUCAACCAUAGAACUGCUUUUGAAACUGUCUAUCUAGAGUGUGGGAGAGGUAGAUGGAAUUUCUGGUGUAGGGGUAAAAUCCGUAGAGAUCAGAAGGAAUACCGAUUGCGAAGGCGAUCUACUGGAACAUAACUGACGCUCAGACGCGAAAGCGUGGGGAGCAAACAGGAUUAGAUACCCUGGUAGUCCACGCCCUA
rnacentral:rRNA from 1 species